UACGUAGGGGGCUAGCGUUGUCCGGAUUUAUUGGGCGUAAAGAGCGUGUAGGCGGCCAGGUAGGUCUGCUGUGAAAACUCGAGGCUCAACCUCGAGACGUCGGCGGAAACCAUCUGGCUAGAGUACGGUAGAGGGGGAUGGAAUUCCGCGUGUAGCAGUGAAAUGCGUAGAUAUGCGGAGGAACACCGAUGGCGAAGGCAAUCCCCUGGACCUGUACUGACGCUCAUGCACGAAAGCGUGGGGAGCAAACAGG
rnacentral:rRNA from 1 species